CUUCCAAUCCCGCAGAGGCAGCCGCCGCCUCCCUAGCUCACUCUCCAUGCUGCCGCUCUCCUCUCCGGCGAGCCGCCGCCGCUCUCCUCUCCGGCGAGCGUUGUCGGCUGUGUCCUCCCGCUCAUACCUGCCGCGAAAGCGCCCGCCGCCACCCCGCGCCGCCUCUUCUCCCCCGUGGUGCCGCUCGGGAUCGAGCUUUUCCGCGCCGCUCGCCAUGGCCUCUGUGCCCACGCUCAAGGUUGCCGUCGCUCGGGAUCGAGCUUCUCCGCGCCGCUCGUGUGAAGCCACUACGUCUGAGGGAGCAGCGCGAGCAGGCGACCUGAUGGCGACCAUGGUGAGCACCGGAGUAGAAUCAGCAGAUCCGCUACAGCUGAGCGAAUGAGACAGUGGAGGUGCGUCACCUCCUGGCUGUAGCAGGGUUUCAACUCACAUGAUUAUUGGUGCUGCCUCUUCUGCCUGUUGGUGUGGCCACAAUUUCUCCUUGGUGCAGAGCUCAUCCAUGGUGCCGUCGACCGGAUCCACCCGGGAUAAGAAUCCAUCUUCUUUCCAGCUCCUUCGUUUCGUUGAUUAAUCCCUGUGGUUUGUUUGCUUCCAAGUAUGGCUUCAGUGUUUAUCUGGUUUGUUCCCUUGCUUUGUGGUUCGAUUAGUUUGCUACCUGGGCAGUGAAUCCAUAGAACCCAAAGUGUACUGCUUUAUCACUGGAAACUAAGCUAUUGAAUUGCAAUCCCCUUUUUCUUAGUGCUUUCUUGGUGCUUGAUAUUGCUAGCAAUUGUUGUUAAGCUGCACUGACCAUUUGUAAAAUUUGGUAGGUUGCAUCUCCCAUCUGUCCCAACAGAUGGAGGAAGAGCUGAACUUGAGGAACGAUGCCCACCGCCACCAUCGUCGGCUGGCCCCUUUCCAAAUCGUCCGCGAUCAGAAGUCCAGUGGUGCCGCCCCUCCCACCUCCAGCAUGCACACCCGCGGCUCCAACUACAGCAGACAGUUGCAUGUUUUUUGCUGAAAUGUUGAAGAAACACCUAGGCAUUUGAAGGAUGUAAAAAUGAUUCUGCUGCUGGUCAGGAAAUCAAGCAGAGGGUAACGUAUCCAGUUGAUUUCUCUUUUGCUACGUGGUUGCUUGUUUGUGUGCCUUUUUCCAUCUACAAAAGAUGGAUGCUUAACCCUAUUUUAGCCUAUAAUUCUUGUUGCUCUGAUACACCUAACCUUUGCUCCUCAACAUAUCAGUUAUUUUGACCUUUUAAACAACAUCAUUAUCUGUGAGAAGUUUACAAGCUAUAUAUUUUAUAAUGACCAGCCAACUAAUGUUUGAUUAUUUCUUGUUUUUGGACUCGUCAUGAGAGCAACAUUGUUUUAUACUUUGGUCACCUCACUUUUCAACAGUGUGGAGCGAAUAUCGUGGACUCACCAUCGCUUUUAAAUAGAGCCAUGCCACUAUAUUGAGCAGUUACAUGAAUACUGAUAUCAUAUUAGAAUCUUAUCAGCCAUGUAUUAUGUAGCACCCUUCCAUUGCGCCCCUCUCCAUGAACUAUGUGUGCUACUUUUGUGCUUAAAUCUAACACUACCGUUUGCAAAAAAAAUUGCUUUUUUUCCACAUGGUUCAGGCUGCAGCAAGAAUCAACAAGUGCUCACCACAACCAGGGAAUUAGCGGAGGCCAGACUGGCCAGUCUCCUUGGGUUUCAACAUUAUUGCAUAUGGGAGGAAAUAAUAGUUUCUUUGGUGCUUAUUUCCCUGCGGUGAUUGGUGGAACAUACACAUUUGUUUUGCCUACCCUCUUGAUCAUCCUUGCCGGACGUUACCCUGGUGAACCAGAUUCGCAUACGGUCAGUCAUGUUUUUCCUGGAGUGUGACAAUACAGGUACAUCAUUCAAGCAAACUACGUGUGAGCUCUGCGUUCAUCCAUCCAUACAAAUUGUUUUAUUUGUGAGUAACACAUUGACUCACGGGUUUCUGCAUUACUAUCCAUGAAAGUUAAUUUACUGGAUAUAUAUGAAGUAAGUGAGGUUCCUCUUAUGAGGUAGUACAAGGAUCCCUUAUUUUUAGUAAAACUGAUCACUUAUUUAAGUGUGUCAGACUGUCAGGUGUAUAUAGCUGGUGUUGCAGUUCUCCGCUUUGUUCGGCUGCCAUUGCCUAUUGUUCUCUUAGUCAUGUGUAAGUUGUUCUUUUUUAUAAUUUUCUGCACGGUACACCAAAUUUUCAAGUUAGUUUGUACACAAACUACACAACUCACAGUACACUUGCGGUGUCCCUAGAUCUCUGUAGAUGAUGUCAUGAAUGGCCAGCAAUCUACCCCUUUGAUGGUGUGUGCAGAAAAUACCAAGUUAUGCCAUGGCCCUAGGUGUUGAUGUUUAUUUUCGUUCGCAUUGGAUCCAUCUCGAGCAAUGGAAAUGGUGUAUAACAUAAGUACACCAUAUCGUCAUUGUCUUCUGCCCAGUUUCAGCUAAUUAUAAACAUGCCUAGAUCAAUAAUAUCCUCAAUAUUUCUGUUAACCCCAUGCCUAUAUCCACGCUGCACUGGAUUUAGUUUUUCUUAGAUCUGAUCUUUGUUGCUUAGUAUUACUGCAAUUCUUUUCGCAACUGCACUGUUGGUAGACAACUAUCCUAAAAACAACACCAUACUGGAUGCAUCUUUUCAUUUAGAUUUUGUCUUUUCGAUACUGGUUUUUCUCUCAUGGAUUUUGUCUUCUUUCUAAUAUUGUUUACUCAUGUUGCUUGUGUGAAUAUUAUUGACCCUGGUCUCUUACUAUUGUAUUUCUUUUAAGAAAAGCUUUUCGUAGCCAAGAUGCUGAUAUGUCUGAGAUAGAGAAUUCAUCCAUUUUCACAUUAGUAGUCAGACUUCAGUAACAAGACCAUACUAUAUGUUUUUCCAAUUUAAGCUAAUAUUAAGGAAUGACUUUACAGUUAUAUUUUUAGAUUACAACCCAUUCGAUGCUGAGGAACAAAGCGUACAUAAGAGAUCAAUUUACAUGGUGGAAGGAAAUUGCAAGAUAUGUUGUCAGGGCAAUGCGAUGGAGACACUCCAGAGGUG